AGCAGGGUGGCCUAGUGGAAAGGGUACAGGCCUGGGGAGUCAGAGUCCAUGGGUUCUAAUCCUGGCUCUGUCA
rnacentral:tRNA from 1 species